rnacentral:rRNA from 1 species
CCUACGGGUGGCUGCAGUGGGGAAUAUUGGACAAUGGGCGAAAGCCUGAUCCAGCCAUGCCGCGUGUGUGAAGAAGGCCUUCGGGUUGUAAAGCACUUUCAGUGGGGAAGAAAGCCUUGGGGCUAAUACCCUCGAGGAAGGACAUCACCCACAGAAGAAGCACCGGCUAACUCCGUGCCAGUAGCCGCGGUAAUACGGAGGGUGCGAGCGUUAAUCGGAAUUACUGGGCGUAAAGCGCGCGUAGGCGGUCUGAUAAGCCGGUUGUGAAAGCCCCGGGCUCAACCUGGGAACGGCAUCCGGAACUGUCAGGCUAGAGUGCAGGAGAGGAAGGUAGAAUUCCCGGUGUAGCGGUGAAAUGCGUAGAGAUCGGGAGGAAUACCAGUGGCGAAGGCGGCCUUCUGGACUGACACUGACGCUGAGGUGCGAAAGCGUGGGUAGCAAACAGGAUUAGAUACCCUGGUAGUC